GUUCAAAUUUCAUUGAAUCAGAAGUCCAACAAUGACAUCAAGAAUACAAGUGCUUUCUGUUAAUUAAACUUUGGGACACUGAAACACAGGCAAGGGGAGAUGAUUGGAUAGAAAACAUUGCUCUAUUCAUUUACCUCCCAGCCUCUAAAA
rfam:Myotis lucifugus cont2.15330, whole genome shotgun sequence.